CACGCAAGCCUCCCCCGUGAGAAAAUAAUCCUCCCCUCGUCUCCUCUCCCCCGCGACUACUCGCCGCCACCGCCACCGCCACGACCCAUGCCGGCCGAUUCCGGUGAGUCUCGGCGGCGGGUGACACACCAACGCCUCCCCUGGCCCUACUCCUUCCUUCCAUCCGUCCAGAUCCGUCCUCCUCUCCUCGUCUCUCUCCUCCGCGUCUUCCUCUAGGGAGCCUUGCGGCUGCAGCAGGAGAGGAGUCAAGGGGGCCGGGCUAGCCGAUUUCCUCGCCGGAUCUGGAGCACAGGGGCGCCGCCGCUGCCGCGCGCACAACAAGCCGCAGCCACCUCCACUCCGGCGCCGAUUGAUGGGCCUCUCCACCCUCGCGCACCCGCCUCCCGACUCCCGCCCCCAUGACCUGCAGAUCCUUGCCUUCCCCAUGGGUGAUGUCUCUAGUGAAGGAGGGCGGAGACUCGCGCCGCCAUCGACCUGUCCUUCUCGUCGGUCACGCCCCAUGCUAGCAGGUGGGCAGAGCCUCAUCAUCGUCAGCGGGAGGAGGCUAGCAGCAAUCGCAGCAGGUGGCGGUGGUGGUGAAAGAAUUGAUGAUGGCGCAAGGCCCACCGCUUCUUCUGUUGCGGUGCUGCACAACGGCGUCUCUGCGGGGAUCGGUGAUGACGCAAGGAACUAAGACCUCCAGCGAGGCGGUCUUGGGUGCAGUAGCGAAAUUUGUUCAUUGGAUAGAGCUUUGAAUAGGUUAGCCCACCUUCUCUCUAUUUACAUUCAUGUGCAGAAUGGGUGAUGUUGCAUCAGAACCUUUUGUUUCUUCUUUGGUCAAGUUACAUAUGUAUCAAGAUGUGAGUUGCUAAAUGUUCAUGUACGUCUCAUGGAUGGACACUACCUUGCAGGCUUAAUGGUUUUGGUUCACGUAGAAGAGAUCCAUCCUUAGGCUUAAUGGUUUCUUGAUCUUCACUCCUAUUUCUCAGCAUUUUUGUUUAUCCUCAAAUAGUUCCUGCUUAGCUCGUUUGUCACUUGUGCUUGUUAUUAUUCUGGAGGUUAAGUGGGUGAAAUAGUUGGUGAUGUUUAGUGUGGAAGCCACUCAAAACCGUUGUAUAUAGUUGCAUUUGAGAUUUUUCGUCCAACGAUGUGUUCAAAUUUAUACCAUUGGAUUUCCAAAAAAAAUCCUGAGUCUUUGUUACACAAAGACAAGAUCACAAGAAAGGGACUUUUAGUCAUUAGUGAAUCCUACAUUUGUUUUAGCCCUUCUGUUGGCAGUAUACCGAUCUGAUUACACAUAUGUGUGAAACAAAAUUGAAAUACUCAGGUUUGGUAUUGUUCUCUUCUGUUUUUCAUUGGGUUUAGGAUGGCUUACCGCCCUUACAUAUUUAGUUCAGAACCUUCUGUCCAGUAGGUGUUCUCCGCGAAUUUAUUACGACCAAUUGUCAUAGCCUGCUAUGGUUGCUUCAUGAUCCUUUGUCUUGAACUUUAUUUUCCUAAAUUGCUUGCUUGUGAUGGAUUAAUAUGUCAUUUUGUGAGUGUUGCUUGUUUAAAAUUGAUUCUCUGGUUGCCAUUUUUCUUUUGAGCAAGCUGCUUGAAUUUUAGGUAACCUGACAGGGCCCGCAACAUUGAUGUUGCAUUCAUGAAUCUCUCAUACACAGGUAAGAAAUAUUCUCCCUCUCAUAAAAUCAUUUUAGUGCAUGAUGGAGGUUUGCUCACGUCCUUUCCAUUUCUGUUGGUUAGAAAAUAUUUUCCAUUGUUGGGUAUUCACAGAAAUUUAGGGAAUAUUUGUUGUCAAUGAUUUUAUUGCGGUCCACACUCCAAAGCUGAUUUAAGGAUCGAGUGAAGGUGGAGCGGCAUAUUCAAACUUGCAUAUCAUGGCCCAACCCGCUCUCGAGCAAUCCGACAUUGUUUACUCUUCGUUAGGUCUACUAACACUCUUGAUCCUCAUAGGAUCAUGGAUGUUGCUUCGGAUAAGGCCAAUUAAAGAAAUUAUAGGCCCUGUUAUUCAAAGAAGCGUUACAAUAGCUACCCGAACUACUGAGGAGUUUAUUCUUAAGGAUUUGGCAAUAUAAUCUGAUGAUAGUGUGUUAUCUCACGCUGCACAUUUGAUGGUUGGCAUGCUAGCCGUGAGUCUAGCUCAUGUAACUUCCAAGGAGCCUCUUUGUGCUGUUUUGUCAUCUCAUCAUCGAAGUCUCAUUUAGAACUUGAACAAUAACAGUGAAACCACUGAGCAGAUUGUUCAUAUUGUGAUAAAUGACCAUCUAGAUCGUGGAUGUGUGCUAAUAGAGACUGUUGCAACACACAAGGCUUACAAGAUGGAGUGCUAACCAGAAGGGCAACAAGGUGUAGUGGCAUCGAAACAAGUUCAAGACUUCUGGUCGAGUGAAACUAAGGACAACAAGGAUACAAUGGAAAAGGUUUGUGAAAUUGUUAAGAGGCAACUUGCUGUUUCUGAAGGCACUGAAGUUUGUGGUAGCACCAACUUCUCUAACCUUGGAGCUGAUUCACUGGACAUGAUGCAAGCGCUUCUGACUGCUGAAGUUUGUAAUUCAAAGGAACAAGGAGCAAAGAACUCCUAGCUUAUAGUUAAGAUCAUAGGCUUGCCGUUAUUCUCUUGUGAUUCAGAAUUUUAGUCGAAGAAUCUUGGCUUCUUGUUGGAUAUCUGCAGUAAAGUCCAGUGGUUAUCAUUCAUCAUCCUGCCCAGAGGAUUUCAUUUUAUGGAUGCCUGAGUUUAGAAAUUUUUCCUCUGUCCAUCGUCGACGUAUCGUCCAUGAUAGCUGUUCAUAUGAGGGAGUACAUUUUCCAGCAAUGCAUUUCCGUUGGUCCCGUGACUUAUACUACUACUACCA